rnacentral:rRNA from 1 species
CCUACGGGCGGCAGCAGUGAGGAAUAUUGGUCAAUGGGCUUACGCCUGAACCAGCCAAGUCGCGUGAGGGAAGACUGCCCUAUGGGUUGUAAACCUCUUUUGUCAGGGAGCAAUUGGCGCUACGUGUAGCGUUAUCGAGAGUACCUGAAGAAAAAGCAUCGGCUAACUCCGUGCCAGCAGCCGCGGUAAUACGGAGGGCCCGAGCGUUAUCCGGAUUCAUUGGGCUUAAGGGGAGCGUAGGCGGGCGUUCAAGUCAGCUGUAAAAUCGCGCGGCUCAACCGCGCCCCGCAGUUGAAACUGGACGCCUUGAGUUCACAACAGGCAGGCGGAAUUCGUGGUGUAGCGGUGAAAUGCAUAGAUAUCACGAGGAACCCCGAUUGCGAAGGCAGCCUGCCGGGGUGCGACUGACGCUGAGGCUCGAAGGUGCGGGUAUCAAACAGGAUUAGAUACCCCUGUAGUC